AACCAGCAAGACAAACGUGCUUUAGUGGUAUAGGUAUACAAUAUGUAACCCAAAAGAAAAAAUAGAGUGAUGAAAUUGGAGAGGAAAGUGGAAAUGGCUAUUCCUUUGACUCCAAGAGAAAGAGUGAAGGUCAAGAAAAAGGUGAGAGGGAGGUGAAGAAUGGUAGCUAGUAAAGUGCACCACAUCAGUGGCCAAGUUAUGCUUUGACUGCGCAAGAAAAUACGCAGAGGGUGAAGAAGACUAUUGGCUAUGAGAUCAGGGAUAGCAAACCGGCAAUACAAGCCAGCGAUUCGGGUUAUAUCCGGGU
rnacentral:lncRNA from 1 species